AUCCCAGACUCCUACGGGAGGCAGCAGUGAGGAAUAUUGGUCAAUGGCCGGAAGGCUGAACCAGCCAAGCCGCGUGAAGGACGAAGGUGCCAAGCAUUGUAAACUUCUUUUGUCAAGGGACAAAAUCAGGCUCGAGAGCCUGACCGAGGGUACUUGAAGAAAAAGCAUCGGCUAACUCCGUGCCAGCAGCCGCGGUAAUACGGAGGAUGCGAGCGUUAUCCGGAUUUAUUGGGUUUAAAGGGUGCGUAGGCGGACUGUAAAGUCGGGGGUAAAAGCCGGGGCCCCACCCCCGGCGAGCCGUUGAAACUGGCUGUCUUGAGAUGUCGAGAGGUAUGCGGAAUGCGCAGUGUAGCGGUGAAAUGCUUAGAUAUUAGGAGGAACACCAGUGGCGAAGGCGGCUUACUGGACUGUAACUGACGUUGAGGCUCGAAAGCGUGGGGAGCAAACAGGAUUAGAUACCCCCGUAG
rnacentral:rRNA from 1 species